UAGAACAGGGGUUCCCAAACUGUGGGGCACGCCGGUCGCCAGAGGGGGCCCCACAGUUUGGGAACCAUUUUUCAAAAGAAGCUGUUCUUUUUUGUUAGCUAGCUAACAAAAAGCAACUCAGUCCAGCUUUUAACUGACUCCUGAAAGUUGUAAUAGUAGAAUACACAAGGUGCAGUUUUCCAAAUGAGGUAGUGCAUCAGCCGUUUUCCAAAUGAGGUAGUGCAUCAGCCGUUUUCCAAAUGAGGUAGUGCAUCAGCCGUUUUCCAAAUGAGGUAGUGCAUCAGCCGUUUUCCAAAUGAGGUAGUGCAUCAGCCGUUUUCCAAAUGAGGUAGUGCAUCAGCCGUUUUCCAAAUGAGGUAGUGCAUCAGCCGUUUUCCAAAUGAGGUAGUGCAUCAGCCGUUUUCCAAAUGAGGUAGUGCAUCAGCCGUUUUCCAAAUGAGGUAGUGCAUCAGCCGUUUUCCAAAUGAGGUAGUGCAUCAGCCGUUUUCCAAAUGAG